UUUUGGAAGGCACCCAGAUUUUCGUAAAAAGUUAGAUGUGGAGCAACUAGCAAAUUCUGUUCGUAGUUGGCCUGGUAUCAAAUAUAAUGUUUCAACAUGCAAAUCGAUCCAUAUUCCACUACAAUGCAUUGAUGAAUUCAUUCUAUUCACAUUGGAUCAAGAUACCAGAACAGUGUACAUUUUGGACCCUACUCCUAUUAAUCCAAUGUACCGAUACAACCCACUCGCAAAAUAUGUGAAAAAAAUUAUAUGGAUUUCCGAACAUUUACCGAAAGCAAUGUCAGAAGCAUGCCCUGGGUCUAGAUGGAACGAGGAUAUUCUCUUAUGGCAUCAUAGAAUCCUAGAUGAUAUUCCAGUUUACAACAGGGAACUGUCUGGUUAU